rnacentral:rRNA from 1 species
UACGUAGGGGGCGAGCGUUGUCCGGAAUUAUUGGGCGUAAAGAGCGCGCAGGCGGUCGAUCAAGUCGCGUGUGAAAGCCCCCCGGCUCAACUGGGGAGGGUCACGCGAUACUGAUCGACUCGAAGGCAGGAGAGGGUAGUGGAAUUCCCGGUGUAGUGGUGAAAUUCGUAGAUAUUCGCAAGAACACCAGUGGCGAAGGCGGCUCACUGGCCCGGUACUGACGCUGAGGUGCGAAAGCGUGGGGAGCAAACAGG